rnacentral:rRNA from 1 species
CCCUUAGACGUUCUGGGCCGCACGCGCGCUACACUGACCAGUGCAACAAGCAUCCGUCCUUGGCCGACAGGCUCGGGCAAUCUUUGAACGCUGGUCGUGAUGGGGAUAGACUUUUGCAAUUUUUGGUCUUCAACGAGGAAUUCCUAGUAAACGCAAGUCAUCAACUUGCAUUGAUUACGUCCCUGCCCUUUGUACACACCGCCCGUCGCACCUACCGAUUGAAUGGUCCGGUGAAGCCUCCGGAUUGGCGCGCACCUCGGUGCCGCCGAGAGGUUGGCUAAACCUUACCAUUUAGAGGAAGGUGAAGUCGUAACA